rnacentral:rRNA from 1 species
AGGAUAAACGCUGGCGGCGUGCCUAACACAUGCAAGUCGAACGCGCUUGCUAUCCGCGAGGACGGUGAGCGAGUGGCGGACGGGUGAGGAACACGUGGGUGACAUACCUUUCAGUGAGGGAUACCGGCGAGAAAUUGCCGACAAGACCGCAUACGCUUCUCUUUUCAAGGGGAGAAGGAAAGCUUUUUCGCAAGAGAGGCGCUGGGAGAUGGGCCUGCGGCCGAUUAGCUAGCUGGUGGGGUAAUGGCCUACCAGGGCGACGAUCGGUAGCUGGUCUGAGAGGACGAUCAGCCACACUGGGAUUGAGAACGGCCCAGACUCCUACGGGGGGCAGCAGUGAGGAAUUUUCGGCAAUGGGGGCAACCCUGACCGAGCAACGCCGCGUGCAGGACGACGGCCUUCGGGUUGUAAACUGCUUUUCUCUGGACGAGCAAGGACGGUACCAGAGGAAGAACGCCCGGCUAACUACGUGCCAGCAGCCGCGGU